CUGACAUAUGCAGGCAUAGUGUUUUAGCUUGGGAGUUGUCAAACACAGAAGAACAAAAGCAGAUGGCCUAGAUAUGACCCCAGCCCUGUCCACCAACAAUACUGGGAGCUGACAGCAUUAGCAAAAAGAGAGUGCAGGGCACUGUGUUACUUCUUCAACCUCAGCUCCGCCCCCUCCAAAUCUGUAGCCUCUUCCUAUCCUCUUAUGCUACAGACUGUAAUGGAAUAUGCUCAUUGUUGCCAUGCCCCCUAAUACUCGUCUGUUCCCGAUCACACGCAGCACAGCCCUGGCAUGAAAAUCUACAAGCAGGUGAACUCGAGUGCUUCCGCUAUAUGUCAGAGGCCCAACGAAGCACAAGCAGAUGCGAAACAGCGCCAUAGCCUUUUUCUGUACCCCCCAACCCACUAUGUGUGAGAA